rnacentral:tRNA from 1 species
GAGGUAUUAGCUUAGUGGUUAAGGACGUGUUUAGUUUUACUUAGAUGCUAGGGUUCAAAUCCCUUAUACUUUA